rnacentral:rRNA from 1 species
GAUGAACGCUAGCUACAGGCUUAACACAUGCAAGUCGAGGGGUAACGAGAGGGAAGCUUGCUUUCCUUGUCGACGACCGGCGCACGGGUGAGUAACGCGUAUCCAACCUGCCCCCAACUAGGGAAUAACCUUGCGAAAGUAAGACUAAUACCCUAUAAUUUCCUCAGAUGUCAUCUGACGAGGAAUAAAGAUUUAUCGGUUGUGGAUGGGGAUGCGUCUGAUUAGCUUGUUGGCGGGGUAACGGCCCACCAAGGCAACGAUCAGUAGGGGUUCUGAGAGGAAGGUCCACCACAUUGGAACUGAGACACGGUCCAAACUCCUACGGGAGGCAGCAGUGAGGAAUAUUGGUCAAUGGGCGGAAGCCUGAACCAGCCAAGUAGCGUGCAGGAUGACGGCCCUAUGGGUUGUAAACUGCUUUUAUACAGGAAUAAAGUUAGCCACGUGUGGUUAUUUGUAGGUACUGUAUGAAUAAGGACCGGCUAAUUCCGUGCCAGCAGCCGCAGUAA